rnacentral:rRNA from 1 species
CAGUAGCCGCGGGAAUACGGAGGGUGCAAGCGUUAAUCGGAAUUACUGGGCGUAAAGCGUGCGCAGGCGGUUAUAUAAGACAGAUGUGAAAUCCCCGGGCUCAACCUGGGAACUGCAUUUGUGACUGUAUAGCUAGAGUACGGCAGAGGGGGAUGGAAUUCCGCGUGUAGCAGUGAAAUGCGUAGAUAUGCGGAGGAACACCGAUGGCGAAGGCAAUCCCCUGGGCCUGUACUGACGCUCAUGCACGAAAGCGUGGGGAGCAAACAGGAUUAGAUACCCGUGUAGUCCCUGUCUCUUAUAC